GACCCUCUUCCCACCAUGAGCAACCAGGUGAUCUGCUGUAUGGCCCUUUGUCUCCUGGGAGCAGGCAUUGUGGAGGGGGGGGUCACUCAGACCCCAAAAUACCUGCUCAAAGAGGAAGGACGAGAGGUGACCCUGGAAUGUGAACAGGAUUUUGAUUACGAUGUCAUGUACUGGUACCGACAGGAUCCAGGACAAGGGCUGAGACUGAUCUACUUCUCGCAAGCUGUAAAGGAUGUCCAGAAAGGAGACAUAGCUGAAGGAUGGAGUGCCUCCCGGGAGAAGAAGGCACUCUUCCCGCUCACCGCGACAUCAACACAAAAGAACCAGACAGCUCUAUAUCUCUGUGCCACUAGUGAAGGUGUCAGAGGGAAAAGAAGACAGAGUAACUAA